GACGAACGCUGGCGGCGUGCCUAAUACAUGCAAGUCGAGCGAAGUUUUUCUGGUGCUUGCACCGGAAAAACUUAGCGGCGAACGGGUGAGUAACACGUAAAGAACCUGCCUUAUAGACUGGGACAACUAUUGGAAACGAUAGCUAAUACCGGAUAACAGCAUUAACUGCAUGGUUGAUGUUUGAAAGUUGGUUUUGCUAACACUAUGAGAUGGCUUUGCGGUGCAUUAGCUAGUUGGUGGGGUAAAGGCCUACCAAGGCGACGAUGCAUAGCCGACCUGAGAGGGUGAUCGGCCACACUGGGACUGAGACACGGCCCAGACUCCUACGGGAGGCAGCAGUAGGGAAUCUUCCGCAAUGGGCGAAAGCCUGACGGAGCAACGCCGCGUGAGUGAAGAAGGAUUUCGGUUCGUAAAGCUCUGUUGUUAGGGAAGAAUGAUUGUGUAGUAACUAUACACAGUAGAGACGGUACCUAACCAGAAAGCCACGGCUAACUUCGUG
rnacentral:rRNA from 1 species